GUCUAUGGCCAUACCACCCUGAAUGCACCGAUCUCAUCUGGUAUUGAAAGCUAAGCAGGGUCAGGCCUGGUUAGUACUUGUAAGACAGACCUUCAGAAGAGACUGCUCAGAGACA
rnacentral:rRNA from 1 species